rnacentral:RNase_P_RNA from 1 species
UGGGUCGGCUGGACGGUCGCGUCGCGGACGGUUCACCGCCCGCGCCGAGGAACGUCCGGGCUCCACAGGGCAGGGCGGUGGGUAACACCCACCCGGAGCGAUCCGCGAGACAGUGCCACAGAGAGCAGACCGCCCGGCUUCGGCCGGGUAAGGGUGAAAGGGUGGUGUAAGAGACCACCGGGGUCGUGGUGACACGACCCGCACGGUAAACCUCGCCCGGAGCAAGGCCAGACAGGGGAUGACGACGCGGCCCGCCGAGUCCCCGGGUAGGCCGCUGGAGCGGCACGGCAACGUGUCGCCGAGAGAGAUGACCGUCCACGGGGCUCACGCCCCCGGACAGAACCCGGCGUACAGGCCGGCCCAUUCG